rnacentral:rRNA from 1 species
AGCAGCCGCGGUAAUUCCAGCUCCAAUAGCGUAUAUUAAAGUUGUUGCAGUUAAAAAGCUCGUAGUUGAAUUUCGGAGUUUGUCGGUUGGUCGGGCUUCACUGUCCGCACUGGCCUGAUGGAUUCCUACCUUCUGAAUAACCAGCAUGCUAUUAAUUUAGUGCGUUGGGGAAGCAGAGCUAUUACCUUGAAAAAUUAGAGUGCUUAAAGCAGGCUUACGCUUGAAUAGAUUAGCAUGGAAUAAUAAAAUAGGACGGCUUGGUUCUAUUUUGUUGGUUUCUAGGAUCACCGUAAUGAUUAAUAGGGAUAGUUGGGGGCAUUAGUGUUCAAUUGUCAGAGGUGAAAUUCUUGGAUUUAUUGAAGACUAACUUCUGCGAAAGCAUUUGCCAAGGAUGUUUUCAUUAAUCAAGAACGAAAGUUAGGGGAUCGAAGACGAUCAGAUACCGUCGUAGUCUUAACCAUAAACUAUGCCGACUAGGGAUCGGACGAUGUUAAUUUUUAAUGACUCGUUCGGCGCCUUA